rnacentral:lncRNA from 1 species
GGCCCAGUGACAUGGAAAGCCACUAAGGGUGGUGGCCAAACUGGUGUGUUGUGGGCCGAAUGACCAUUGAAAGAUGCCAACCAUUGUGCAGACAGAAGGAUCACCUUGAUGAUGAAAGAGCGGAAGAGGUCAAGAUGAAUUUCGAGGAGCCAUCAGAAGGACGAAAGAGGUCCCAGCUGAUCAGAGCAGGCGCGGGAGCUCGGGUUGGGGUGGAGGAGCAGGUAAGUCGGCCCACUGUCAGUCAUGGUGUGACCACGCCCACACCUGGUGAUGGCUAAGCCAAUCAGGUCGCCUUCCUCCACGAUGGGGCACAAGGAUUGGCUAAGCAGAAGUGGGAGGGGCCAAGGGCCUGGGGGGGUUCGCACUUCCGGUUCCCCAGGCGCUAAGCCCUUGCCUUGAAGGGACUUCUGGGCCUGGAGCCCCACCGCCUGGAAGACGCGGCCGGGAGGCUGCAGCCUGCCGCAGGGAACGAGCCCUGGGGCCCGCGGCGCUGAGCCCUACCCAGUGCUGCCGUGGGCUGGCCAGGCCACCCACCCUGCUGGACCCCGGGUUAGCUGCCCAUCUCAGUCAAGAAGAUUAACUGGGACGCGGAGGCGGUAUUGCUUAGUGGUCACGCCACCCCCCACGUGCAACUGCUCCCCGCCCUCAUUCAAGUAGGAGCGGCAGUCUUCAGACACCAAAGCACUUGUCACAGGUAUUACCUGCCAGGGACCCGGAUGUGCCCCGCCCCGCCCCAGGGUAAUUCAGAAGCAGGAGUUUCACUUUGAGAGCUCUCUAAAGGGGAUGAUGGGAAGACAAAUUGGAAAAGUUGGAGCUCCAGGCUAAUGUGCCAGCCUUCCCAGGUGACCAGAACAGUUGUUCAUGCUGUGAUGUUUUAAUUAAUUUUUAUUUAUUUAUUUAUUUGCUAGUGGAACUGGGGUUUGAACCCAGGGGCACUCUGCCACUGAGCUGUAUCUCUGGCCCUUUUUACUAAGUAGCCAGAGGCUGGCCUCGAACUUGCAAUCCUGCCUCAGCCUCCUGAGUUGCUGGGAUUGCAGGUGUGCACUACCUCGCCAAGUGUGAUUUG